rnacentral:rRNA from 1 species
UACGAAGGGGGCUAGCGUUGCUCGGAAUCACUGGGCGUAAAGCGCACGUAGGCGGGUCCUUAAGUCAGGGGUGAAAUCCUGGAGCUCAACUCCAGAACUGCCCUUGAUACUGAGGAUCUCGAGUUCGGGAGAGGUGAGUGGAACUGCGAGUGUAGAGGUGAAAUUCGUAGAUAUCGGGAGGAACACCAAUGGCGAAGGCAGCUCGCUGGGACGUGACUGACGCUGAGACGCGAAAGCGUGGGGAGCAAACAGGG